rnacentral:rRNA from 1 species
GACGAACGCUGGCGGCGUGCUUAACACAUGCAAGUCGAACGGAAAGGCCUCUUUCGGGGGGUACUCGAGUGGCGAACGGGUGAGUAACACGUGAGUAACCUGCCCUUGACUUUGGGAUAACUUCAGGAAACUGGGGCUAAUACCGGAUAGGAGCUCCUGCUGCAUGGUGGGGGUUGGAAAGUUUCGGCGGGUGGGGAUGGACUCGCGGCUUAUCAGCUUGUUGGUGGGGUAGUGGCUUACCAAGGGUUUGACGGGUAGCCGGCCUGAGAGGGUGACCGGCGCAGUGGGGACUAAGGGAGGGCGCAGGGCGUAAGGGGGGGCAACGGGGGGGAGUGGGACCCACGGGUGGGGCUCGUACGCCGCAUGCGUUCGGGGCGUAAGGUGGGGUUGCGGGGGGCGAAAAGCUUGCGCCGGAUACGGGGGGGGAGGGACGGUAAUGGAUAAAGAAGCACCGGCUAACUACGUG